GCGCCUACGGGGGGCAGCAGUGGGGAAUAUUGCACAAUGGGGGAAACCCUGAUGCAGCGACGCCGCGUGAGUGAAGAAGUAUCUCGGUACGUAAAGCUCUAUCAGCAGGGAAGAAAAAAAGUCUUUGGCUUUGGACGGUACCUGACUAAGAAGCCCCGGCUAACUACGUGCCAGCAGCCGCGGUAAUACGUAGGGGGCAAGCGUUAUCCGGAUUUAUUGGGUUUAAAGGGUGCGUAGGCGGGCUGUUAAGUCAGCGGUAAAAGCCCGGGGCUCAACCCCGGCGAGCCGUUGAAACUGGCUGUCUU
rnacentral:rRNA from 1 species